UAUUUAUGUAAGUUAAAUGUGUUUAAUAAAUGUAUUCCAUUUAUCAAUGGAACAUUAUUAAUUUUUUCCAGUUCUUUAAUUUCAUCGUAUUUGUGCAAUCAUGUUAUUUUUGAUAUUCCAAAGAUGAAGAAAAAUUUAUAUGUGUAAUUCCUACAACAUUAAUUAUAAUAAUAAUAUAGGAGUAUACUGCCUUUGUAAGCAAGAAUGCUGUAAAUAACAAGUAUUAUUACUUCUAUGAGUUUUAUUAUCAUUGUU